UAAAAUGGGAGGUAAAUUUCUCCUAAGGCUAAAUAACGGCGAGAGACCGAUAGCGAACAAGUACCGUGAGGGAAAGAUGAAAAGAACUUUGAAAAGAGAGUUAAACAGUACGUGAAAUUGUUGAAAGGGAAACGAUUGAAGCCAGUCGUACCUUCGGGUAAUCAGCCUUUCGGGUGCGAUUAUGUGGAGUGUGAGGAGCUUAAACACCUUCAUGUUUUGCAUAUUCGUACUCUUGGGUGUACUUGCCCGUAUGGUUGGUUAACAUCAAUUUUGGUGGUCAUAAAAUGACUGGAGGAAUGUAGCUUCGAUCUCGUAUUGAAGUGUUAUAGCCUUCGGUAGAUGUGAUGAUCGAGAUUGAGGAUUGCAACGGAUACCCUUCGGGGCUACCUGUCUGAUCUCUGAUCGUUGUUCUGGUGCCGAAAGCUUGCUUACGGUUAUCAAAGUCGUUGGUCAAUAGGUUAGAACGGGUUAA
rnacentral:rRNA from 1 species